GCCCGAGAAGCUCAAUGGUUGAGCAGAACACUGAAGUUGUUUAGGUUGUAAGUUCGAAUCUUACCUCGAGCA
rnacentral:tRNA from 1 species